GUCGCUGGCAGGUUGUCAAGACUGAAGAUGAUGAGGGUUUUGGCCUCGCCUAUGUGGUCUGCUGAUGUCACCAUGAAGUUCAAAGGCAGAAGGCACCAUCAUCUCUUAAGAAGCAUCAGAGAAGGAUCCCUUCCUCAGCCUCACUGAGUUUUGAAGGACUCUGUUUUUGCCUCUAUUCCACAGCAUCAGCUAUUUUUCCCAGCCGCAAUCCACUUGAAUUAAAACCACAAAUGUCUCUCUCCUUGCUUGGGUGCACCUGCUCGCAUCCAGCAAUCUGAAUUCUGUUGUGUGACUGAAAACACAGAGCCUGCACCGUGCUUCCUUGGAGCGUACCUCCUGUAAGAGAAGGGCGAAAACGACAGCUUAGAUCCUCUUCCACAGUUACAGCAGAAUAAGAAAGAUAUAACGAAGGCUUCUGCAAGGGCAAGAGGAGGGAGAAGAAAUGAAUCUUUUCAUCAAGAAACUUUGCAGAAAUGAAACGCUGGACCUGGGUCCCUGCUUGUUAAAAUAUGUGGAGUCCCACAAAAACGGUAGAUGAUGAAGAGCCAAGAAGAUUUCCCAAGGAUACUGGAUGCUGUUAUCACC